GACAGAGGGUGCAAACGUUGUUCGGAAUUACUGGGCGUAAAGCGCACGUAGGCGGCUUUGCAAGUCGGACGUGAAAUCCCUCAGCUCAACUGAGGAAGUGCAUCCGAAACUGCAAGGCUUGAGUACUGAAGAGGAUCGCGGAAUUCCCGGUGUAGAGGUGAAAUUCGUAGAUAUCGGGAGGAACACCAGUGGCGAAGGCGGCGAUCUGGGCAGAUACUGACGCUGAGGUGCGAAAGCGUGGGGAGCAAACAGG
rnacentral:rRNA from 1 species